rnacentral:tRNA from 1 species
UCCCUGCUGGCUCAGUGAUAAAGUAUCUGCCUGCAGUGCAGGAGACCCAGGUUCAGUCCCUGGGUCAGGAA